CUUAUUUUUCAUAAGCUGGGACAAAGGUCUCAUCCCAAGUCAAACUGAGUGUCCAAUGGAUUACCUAGGACGGAGACCUCGUAUAAUGGAUCAUAAUGUGACACUAGAGGAAAUUCAAAAAUUUUUCGUUGAUUACAUGAUCAAUGAUACUUUGGGUGCCAUCUCCACUGCACAUUUAGUCCAUGCUGAUAGUGAACCAGAAAAAGCCCGAAGUAAAAAAUGUCUACAGUUGGCAGCACUUCACUCCAUGGCAGUUGACUUUGCAAAGAGCGGUGCACCAGCUGAGAUGCCUAGGGCUUUGAAACCAAAGGAAUUUCCAGAUUUCAUGGAGAGGACAGACAAAAAUACAUACGUCUCUAAUGGAGUAUUGGGAAAGCUCUACCGAGGAACUAUUGAUUCAGCUUCACGAGAAAGGUCAAAGUUUGUCUGGUCAGAGAAGGUUGCUGAAGCAACUUAUGAUCGUGAUCUUGAAGUGAAGGGCUUAGAGGAGUUCAUUGAGAUGGCCUUGAGUCAAAAAGACAUGUACAUAGAGAAACUAAGUGGCUUGAUGAAUUAUUAUGAGGCGAAGUAUGAGGAUGAGAUACUGACGGGUAAUCUGAGAAACAAGGCAAUGUAUUUGCAGCGUGACAACAGGAGAUAUGGAGAUAUGAAGGAUCGGAUUCUGCUGUCCUUGAGGAGUUUACAGAAUGAGGCUAAAGAAUGGUUUGAGAGCAGCUGCCAGCCAAAAGAAUAUCAUCCUCUGGCCUCAGCAUGGUAUCAUGUUACUUACCAUCCAAGUUAUUUCCAAGAAGGCGUGAAUUGCUUGAGCUUUCCAUGGAUUGUAGGUGACAUCUUGUUGAACAUAAAAUCUGCAAAUAGCAAAAGAGGCCCUACAUGAAGCAGGUUGCUUUGUUUAAUGUAUUAGAGGAUAAAAAAAAAAAAAAAAAAA
rnacentral:misc_RNA from 1 species